GACGAACGCUGGCGGCGUGCCUAAUACAUGCAAGUAGAACGCUGAAGGAGGAGCUUACUUCUCUGGAUGAGUUGCGAACGGGUGAGUAACGCGUAGGCAACCUGCCUGGUAGCGGGGGAUAACUAUUGGAAACGAUAGCUAAUACCGCAUAAGAGUAGAUGUUGCAUGACAUUUACUUAAAAGGUGCAAUUGCACCACUACCAGAUGGACCUGCGUUGUAUUAGCUAGUUGGUGGGGUAACGGCUUACCAAGGCGACGAUACAUAGCCGACCUGAGGGGGUGAGCGGCCACACUGGGACUGAGACACGGCCCAGACUCCUACGGGAGGCAGCAGUAGGGAAUCUUCGGCAAUGGACGGAAGUCUGACCGAGCAACGCCGCGUGAGUGAAGAAGGUUUUCGGAUCGUAAAGCUCUGUUGUAAGAGAAGAACGAGUGUGAGAGUGGAAAGUUCACACUGUGACGGUAUCUUACCAGAAAGGGACGGCUAACUACGUGCCAGCCGCCGCGGUAA
rnacentral:rRNA from 1 species